AGAGAGAGAGAGAGAGAGUGUGAGUGUGUGUGUGUGUGUGGACAUAGCAGCAGAUAAAGCACCACAGGUCAGCUGUUGAAGGGCCCAUUCACAUUUUAACCAUCAACCAAAUAACAAAUCACUGCAUUCCUCCCAAUGGCUCUUUAAUAUGAUGAAACGUGUAAAAAAACAGGCUGAAACAGCUGUGAUCUCUCGACUACGUAACAUCAACGGUAUGGUAACAUCUGUGGGAUGCGAGGACUAACGAGCACCACUUGUUCCGGCUGGCAGGUUCUGUCAGAUACUUGAACACAUCGUGAACAUAAAAAUAUACUGUCCCUUCUACUUUAAUGUUUAACCUUCACUAGUAUUUGUUUCAAGUGUAUGUAGUUAGUUCCAGUAGUUGUCAAAGUGUCUUACAGAUGCUACACUGUGUGUUAAUGUUUUAUGGAUUUGUCAAUUUAACCUGAGCUGUAACCAGUCACUGUUGAACACAGUGCUCAUUCCUCUAACAGUAACUGGAGGUAGAGAUGUAACCAGUCAUUGUUGAACACAGUGCUCAUUCCUCUAACAGUAACUGGAGGUAGAGCUGUAAACAGUCAUUGUUGAACACAGUGCUCAUUCCUCUAACAGUAACUGGAUGUAGAGAUGUAACCAGUCAUUGUUGAACACAGUGCUCAUUCCUCUAACAGUAACUGGAGGUAGAGAUGUAACCAGUCAUUGUUGAACACAGUGCUC
rnacentral:lncRNA from 1 species